rnacentral:rRNA from 1 species
GAUUAACGCUAGCGGCAGGCAUAAUACAUGCAAGUUGAACGGCAGCACAGGUAGCAAUACUGGGUGGCGAGUGGCGCACGGGUGCGUAACACGUAUGCAACCUACCCUAUACAGGCGAAUAACCUUUAGAAAUGAGGGCUAAUACGCCGUAGUAUUACAGAUGGGCAUCUAUUUGUAAUUAAAGAUUUAUCGGUAUAGGAUGGGCAUGCGUCCCAUUAGUUAGUUGGUAAGGUAACGGCUUACCAAGACGAUGAUGGGUAGGGGAUCUGGGAGGACUUACCCCCACACUGGUACUGAGACACGGACCAGACUCCUACGGGAGGCAGCAGUAAGGAAUAUUGAGCAAUGGCCGCGAGGCUGACCCAGCCAUGCCGCGUGCAGGAAGACGGCCUUAUGGGUGGUAAACUGCUUUUAUACGGGAAUAAUAGAGUGUACGCGUACAUUUAUGCAAGUAUCGUAUGAAUAAGCAUCGGCUAACUCCGUG